AAAAUAAUAAGAGGCAUGUAGAGAAGAGAAAAAGGUAUGAGGUCUGCAGUCAGAAGACAUGGGCUCAAGAUUUUCUUCUCCUUUUAAGUUCCUUCUCUACAAGACAACUAGGUGGGUGCAGUUCAAUCCAGCCCAGCUCUAAGUCAUCACUACUAAUAUCAUCCAGUGGCUUUGGCUUGUCACCUGCUUUGCCCCUGCUCUACGGAGACAUAAGACCGCUGGACUUACUGAGACACGAACAGUGCUGAAUAAACUAUGUGAGUGCCUGAGGGCGUGGCUAGUUCAUCCUGCAGACUGUGUCAGGAUGUCUAAAGGAAGCAACUUUGGAGGAAGCUAAGAUUGUGGUCCCUUUCCCUAGCAUUUAAUAAAAUGCCUGGAUGGUUACCUACCUAGCUUAACACCAGCCUAGCUCAGAAAACAAGGUAGCAGGAUGGAAGAUUCAUGUUUUGGCUUGAAAUCAAUUUGACUCUGCUUGCCUGAACUCUUAAUAAUAAAAAUAAUAUUACCCUCACUUUCAGAUAACAAAACUAAUAACAGUAAGUAACUCGCCCAAGGUCAUUCAGCU
rnacentral:lncRNA from 1 species